rnacentral:rRNA from 1 species
UACAGAGGGGGCAAGCGUUGUUCGGAAUUACUGGGCGUAAAGGGCGCGUAGGCGGCCUUCUAAGUCGAACGUGAAAUCCCCGGGCUCAACCCGGGAACUGCGUCCGAUACUGGAAGGCUUGAAUCCGGGAGAGGGAUGUGGAAUUCCAGGUGUAGUGGUGAAAUGCGUAGAGAGUCCGGAGGAACACCAGUGGCGAAGGCGACACGCUGGGCCAUACCUGACGCUAAAGCGCGACAGCAUGGGGAGCAAACGGG